rnacentral:rRNA from 1 species
GAUGAACGCUGGCGGCGUGCCUAAUGCAUGCAAGUCGAGCGAACAGACGAGGAGCUUGCUCCUCUGACGUUAGCGGCGGACGGGUGAGUAACACGUGGAUAACCUACCUAUAAGACUGGGAUAACUUCGGGAAACCGGAGCUAAUACCGGAUAAUAUAUUGAACCGCAUGGUUCAAUAGUGAGAGACGGUUUUGCUGUCACUUAUAGAUGGAUCCGCGCCGCAUUAGCUAGUUGGUAAGGUAACGGCUUACCAAGGCAACGAUGCGUAGCCGACCUGAGAGGGUGAUCGGCCACACUGGAACUGAGACACGGUCCAGACUCCUACGGGAGGCAGCAGUAGGGAAUCUUCCGCAAUGGGCGAAAGCCUGACGGAGCAACGCCGCGUGAGUGAUGAAGGUCUUCGGAUCGUAAAACUCUGUUAUUAGGGAAGAACAAAUGUGUAAGUAACUAUGCACGUCUUGACGGUACCUAAUCAGAAAGCCACGGCUAACUACGUG